AUUGAACGCUGGCGGCAGGCCUAACACAUGCAAGUCGAACGAGUGGCGGACGGGUGAGUAAUGUCUGGGAAACUGCCUGAUGGAGGGGGCUAACUACUGGAAACGGUAGCUAAUACCGCAUACCAUCGGAUGUGCCCAGAGUGGAUUAGCUAGUAGGUGGGGUAAAGGCUCACCUAGGAGACGAUCCCUAGCUGGUCUGAGAGGCUGACCAGCCACACUGGAACUGAGACACGGUCCAGACUCCUACGUGAGGCAGCAGUGGGGAAUAUUGCACAAUGGGCGCAAGCCUGAUACAGCCAUGCCGCGUGUAUGAAGAAGGCCUUCGGGUUGUAAAGUACUUUCAGCGGGGAGGCGUUACCCGCAGAAGAAGCACCGGCUAACUCCGUGCCAGCAGCCGCGGUAAUAC
rnacentral:rRNA from 1 species